UUUAAAUAAAUGAUAAAUGUAGAAGAAAAAUUAAUCUAUAUAAUCAUAUAUCACAUUUAUUUAUUAAGUUAACUUAUUAUAAUUAUCCAAUCACGACGUUUGUGGUAUCCUUUAUGAGAAAACUAAAGCAUAAAUACCUGUAUAGUAUAAUCAUAUAUUUUUAUUUUUUAUUGAUAUUUUCAUAAAAACUUAAAGGAAAGAUAAACAUACAUUAAAUUUUGAAAUAAAUUAUUAAAGUACAAAUAUGAUUAUAUGCUUUGAAGUAACAUAAUUAUAACGAUUUUAAAAAGAAUAACACAAUUAUUUUUAAACUUCAUUAUUACUCUCCAUCUCGUACUCACAAUAAUUAUUAAUGCACUUUUUAACUGGAUGCAUAAACAUAUCCGGACAAUCACCUAUCUUUUCACACUUAUAGAGAGCUGCAUUUUAAAAUAUAAAAAAAGUAUUAGUAAAUGAUGAAUUAAUAUUGUGUAUAAAAUAAAUUAAAAAAUUAAAAAAUAGUGUGAAAAAUAACAAACUUUUACUGGUUGUAGCAAGAAAUAUAGAAAGAGAGAAGAUCAAAGCAUAGACAAACAUGAGAAAUUGAGCCAUAUUUUUUCUCCUUUGUAUUUUGUAUUUGUAUGUAGUUCUUAAAACUUUUUAUUGCUUUAUAAGUAACAAUUUCGUUCUUUGUU
rnacentral:lncRNA from 1 species